AGCCGCGCGUUGAGCCCAUUGCGAACUAUUCUUUUGCCUUUUACUAAAGAAUACCGUGUGCUCAUUGCUAUUCAAGCGGCAUUCACUUCUUUUUGGAGGGUUGUCUAUUUGGCAACCC